AUGAAACACUCCUACGGGAGGCAGCAGUGGGGAAUUUUGGACAAUGGGCGCAAGCCUGAUCCAGCAAUGCCGCAUGAGUGAAGAAGGCCUUCGGGUUGUAAAGCUCUUUUGUCAGGGAAGAAACGGUAGGGGCUAAUAUCCCCUGCUAAUGACGGUACCUGAAGAAUAAGCACCGGCUAACUACGUGCCAGCAGCCGCGGUAAUACGUAGGGUGCAAGCGUUAAUCGGAAUUACUGGGCGUAAAGCGUGCGCAGGCGGUUUUGUAAGUCUGUCGUGAAAGCCCCGGGCUCAACCUGGGAAUUGCGAUGGAGACUGCAAGGCUUGAAUCUGGCAGAGGGGGGUAGAAUUCCACGUGUAGCAGUGAAAUGCGUAGAGAUGUGGAGGAACACCGAUGGCGAAGGCAGCCCCCUGGGUCAAGAUUGACGCUCAUGCACGAAAGCGUGGGGAGCAAACAGGAUUAGAAACCCCUGUAGUCCGAAGUUC
rnacentral:rRNA from 1 species